ensembl:lncRNA
UUUGACAGAGUGCUGAUUGGUACGUUUACAAUCCUUGAGCUAGACACAGAGUCACAGAGUGCUAGUUAGCUAGAUACAGAGUACCAAUUGGUUUAUUCACAAACCCUGAGCUAGACACAGAGUGCUGAUUGGUCCAUUUUACGAAGAGCUGAUUGGUUUGUUUUGACAGAGUGCUGAUUGGUGUGUUUACAAUACUUGAGCUAGACACAGAGUCACUGAGUGCUAGCUAGCUACAGAGUUAGCUAGAUACAGAGUACCAAUUGGUGUAUUCACAAACCUUGAGUUAGACAGUGUGCUGAUUGGUGCAUUUACAAUCCUCUAGCUAGAUAUAAAAGUUCUCCAAGUCCCCAUCCCCUUCAGGAGUCCAGCUGGCUUCACCCAGUGGAUCCUGCAGUGGGGCUGCAGGUGGAGCUGCCCGCCAGUCCCAAGCCACUGGCCUGCUCUCCUCAGCCCCUGGGCUGUGGAUGGAACUGGGCGCCCCAAAGCAGGUCAGGUGGAGCUCAGGUCACAUGAGAGCCCACCACAGGGGAAGGAGCUCAGACAAGGCAGGCUGCAGGUCCAGAGCCCUGCCCCACAGGGAGGCAGCUAAACCCCUGGAGAACUUGAGUGCAGCGCAGGCGGGCAGGCACUGCUGGGGGACCCUGCGCAACCUCCCCAGCUGCUGAGCCCCUCACUGCCCUGGGCCCGCAGUGCCUGAAGGCCGCUCAGUGUGCAGGGCCUGCGGAGCCUGCGCCCGCGCCUGCCGGAACUCACACCGUCCUGUGAGCGCAGCCCAGGUUCCCACCUGUGCCUCUCCCUCCACACCUCCACGCAACAGAGGGAGGAGGCUCCGGCCUCAGCCAGCUCAGAGAGGGGCUCCCAUGGUGCCGUGGCGGGCUGAAGGGCUCCUCAAGCGCUGCCAGUAUGGAAGCCAAGGCCGGAGGCCCUGAGAGUGAGGGCAGCUAGCACCUUGUCACCUAUCACUACCAGGCAGUUGAGCUGGCACCUUCCUGUGCAGAGUUAAGUUGUAAAACUAGCCAAGUGGGCAUGCUUUCGACAUGCUGUCCUGGUGGGUGUGAGUUCCUAGGUCACCACUGGAGGAUGGCAGUUCUGCAGCACGCCCCUGGAGGUGAGAGUCCCAUGGGGGCAUGCUUCGGUCUGUAAAUCCACCGUCAGCUCUGGAGGAGACAUCUGUCUUGGAGCACGAAGUUAGAGGAACUUGCCGUGCAGGCAAUGUCCGGUGAGGGAGAAGUGAGAGAUUAUAUUUGCAUUUCAGCAGAGCUAACUAAAAGCAGAGAGGGAAAAAUAUAAUUAAAUCACCCGUAGAAAAAUAGGGGUACUUGGGGCCGGGUGCAGUGGCUCAUGCCUGUAAUCCCAGCACUUUGGGAGGCCAAGGUGGGCGGAUCAUGAGGUCAGGAGUUAGAGAGCAGCCUGGUCAACAUGGUGAAACUCUGUCUCUACUAAAAAUACAAAAAUUACAGGCAGGUGCCUGUAAUCCCAACUACUCAGGAGGCUGAGGCAGGAGAAUCGCUUGAACCCGGGAGGUGGAGGUUGCAGUGAGCUGAGAUUGUGCCACUGCACUCCAGCCUGGGCAACAAGAGCAAAACUGUCUCAAAAAAAAAAAAAAAAA